UACGGAGGGGACUAGCGUUGUUCGGAAUUACUGGGCGUAAAGCGCGCGUAGGCGGAUUUGCAAGUCGGGGGUGAAAGCCCGAGGCUCAACCUCGGAACUGCCCUCGAUACUGCAAAUCUCGAGUCCGAGAGAGGUGAGUGGAAUUCCUAGUGUAGAGGUGAAAUUCGUAGAUAUUAGGAAGAACACCAGUGGCGAAGGCGGCUCACUGGCUCGGUACUGACGCUGAGACGCGAAAGCGUGGGGAGCGAACCGG
rnacentral:rRNA from 1 species